UUAUGUCUUGACUUAGAUUUCAAACAUCAGAAAACUAUUUUAAAGAAAUUUCAUGGAUAACACCAUCCUUACCUUAUAAGCUUCUAUUCUUUUUCUUUUUUCUUUUCCACUUUUGUUUUGUGAUUUAAUAAAGGGUGAGAGUAUUUGUUUUUUCUUGAUAUUUCAAUCAUUAGAGCUUUAAUCAAUUCACAUCUUAAGCUUUCCCCUUUCUUGCUUAUGAUUGAAAAACCAUUGCAGGUUCAGCUCAGCUCACACAACUCAUCUAUUCUUGAUGAAUCAAUUCUGUGGAUGAACAACACAGAUGCAGGUGACGGCUACACAUAUAUAAGGAUGAUACACAAUGACAACUUGAACAUGGAUGCUUUUGUUGGAUCGGGAACAAUAGUAGACGGCACCGUUGUUGGGAUUUGGCAGCCGGACAAUGGAUCUAAUCAGAUGUGGCAAAUUGUUCCUUACUGAUAAUUGUAGCAGUGUGUUGCUGAAUGGUCUUAUUAAAUAAGCUUUCAUAGCUGCUUAGAGAGACUAUCCUUUGCAGCAGUGUGUUGGAAGGCGGUUUUCACUAUGUUGGUGUUUUCUUUUGGUUGUUUGGAUCAUUGUAUGAAAGACUAUUGAGUUU